UGGGGGAAAAUUAGUAUAUAAAAUUAUAAUAAAAAUAAUUUUAAUAAAAUAUGAUGGGGUUAAAGUAUUUUAUAAAGAAAAAAUUGUUUAAUUUAUAAAGAAUUAGUAUUGUGAAAGAAAUUUGAAAUAUUUGAAAAUUAAUUAAUUUAAUAGUAAAUUUUAAUUAUUGUAUCUUGUGUAUCAGAGUUUAUUAAUAAAGAUUUUUAUAAAAAAAAAUUCUCGAAUUUGAAAGAGUUAAUUAGUUAAAAAAAUUAUUGUUGCAAAAAUAUUUUUCAUAAUUAAUUAGAAAUGAAAUGUUAAUCGUUUUUAAAUAUAUCUAGUUUUUUUAGAAAAAAAUUUAAUUUUAAAUUAUUUUAAUUAAAAAUUUAAAUAAUAAAAUUUUUAAAAAAUUAAAUUUAAUAUUUUAAGGGAUAAGCUUUAAUUUAAAUUUUUAUAAUAGUUUUUUUUUUAUUAAUUGAAAAUUUUAAAAUUUAUAUUGUUUAAAAAUUAUAAUUUUUUAUAAAUAAUUUCAAAAUAAAAUAAAAUUUAAAAAAUUAAAUUUAAAUUUUUAUAAAAUAAGUAAAAUUUAAUAUUAUAAUUUUAGUUAUAAUGAUAAAAUUAGUAUAUGAAUAUAUAAUAUAAAAAUUAUUAAAUAUGAAUUAGUGGAAAAUUAAUUAUAAGGAAUUCGGCAAAUUUUUAUAUUCACUUGUUUAUCAAAAACAUGUCUUUUUGAAAUAAUUUAAAGUCUAAUCUGCCCACUGAUAAAAAUUAAAGGGCUGCAGUAUUUUGACUGUACAAAGGUAGCAUAAUCAUUAGUCUCUUAAUUGGUGACUUGUAUGAAAGAUUGGAUGAGAUAUAAACUGUCUUAUUAUUAUUAAUAAAAUUUAAUUUUUUAGUUAAAAAGCUAAAAUAUUUUUAAAAGACGAGAAGACCCUAUAGAGUUUUAUAUUAAAGUUAAUUAUAAAUUUUUAUAUUAAUGUUAAGUUUGAAUUAAUUUUAAUAUUUUGUUGGGGUGAUAAAAAAAUAAAAUUAACUUUUUUUUUAUAUUAUAUAUAUAUAUAUAUAUAUAUAUAUAUAUAACAUUAAUUAAUGAAUAAAUGAUCCAUAAAUUAUGAUUAAAAGAUUAAAUUACCUUAGGGAUAACAGCGUAAUUUUUUUUUUUAGUUCAAAUAAAAAAGAAAGUUUGCGACCUCGAUGUUGGAUUAAGAUAAAAUUUAAAUGCAAAAGUUUAAAAUUUUGAUCUGUUCGAUCAUUAAAAUCUUACAUGAUCUGAGUUCAAACCGGUGUAAGCCAGGUUGGUUUCUAUCUUUAUAUACAUUAAAUAUUUUAGUACGAAAGGAUCAAAUAUUUAAAAUAAUUUUAUUUUAUGAGAAUAUUACUAAAUGUCUUUGUUUAAAUUAA
rnacentral:rRNA from 1 species